rnacentral:rRNA from 1 species
GGGAUCAUUACCGAGUUAUUCAACUCAUCAGCCCUGUGAACAUACCUAAACGUUGCUUCGGCGGGAAUAGACGGCCCCGUGAAACGGGCCGCCCCCGCCAGAGGACCCUUAACUCUGUUUCUAUAAUGUUUCUUCUGAGUAAAACAAGCAAAUAAAUUAAAACUUUCAACAACGGAUCUCUUGGCUCUGGCAUCGAUGAAGAACGCAGCGAAAUGCGAUAAGUAAUGUGAAUUGCAGAAUUCAGUGAAUCAUCGAAUCUUUGAACGCACAUUGCGCCCGCCAGUAUUCUGGCGGGCAUGCCUGUUCGAGCGUCAUUACAACCCUCAGGCCCCCGGGCCUGGCGUUGGGGAUCGGCGGAGCCUCUCUGUGGGCACACGCCGUCCCCCAAAUACAGUGGCGGUCCCGCCGCAGCUUCCAUCGCGUAGUAGCUAACACCUCGCGACUGGAGAGCGGCGCGGCCACGCCGUAAAACACCCAACUUUUCUGAAGUUGACCUCGAAUCAGGUAGGAAUACCCGCUGAACUUAAGCAUAUCAAUAAGCGGAGG